UGCUCUACAGCUAGCCUAAUAAAAACUUUUAAUUUAGCAAAAUUUACCAAAAGUAAAAGACUUACCCUCAAUCAAACAAAACAUUUUUCCCCCUUAGUACGGGAGACGAAAAAG
rnacentral:rRNA from 1 species